UUGUGCAGGUGUUGCAGAGUGUUCCAGUAACCAGGUGUUCAGUGACUGUUCAGGGGCCUGUCCAUAUACCUGUGAAGACCUGUGGCCACACACUCAGUGUUUCCCUGGACCCUGCACCCCUGGGUGCACCUGCCCUCCUGGACAGGUGUUGUAUAGAGGCUCCUGUGUGUCGCAUUCUGACUGUCCCUGUUCAGCACUCUCUCUGCCCAGUGGUUACCAAAGCUGGAAUAUGAGCACUGUAGAGAUCACAGAAGCGCUGCUGCCACCUGGAACGGCCAUUCAGCAUGUCUGCAACACAUGGAGCAUCUCCAGAAGUAGUGCUACUACAUUGACAGGUGAA